UACGUAGGGUGCGAGCGUUAAUCGGAAUUACUGGGCGUAAAGCGUGCGCAGGCGGUUCGUUGUGUCGGCGGUGAAAGCCCCGGGCUUAACCUGGGAAUGGCCGUUGAAACUGGCGAACUGGAGUGUGGCAGAGGGGGGUGGAAUUCCGGCGUGUAGCAGUGAAAUGCGUAGAGAUGCGGAGGAACACCGAUGGCGAAGGCAGCCCCCUGGGCUAACACUGACGCCUCAGGCACGAAAGCGUGGGGAGCAAACAGG
rnacentral:rRNA from 1 species